AAGAGUUGUAAAACUCCCAAACCCAUGUGAACUUACCUUUGUUGCCUCGGUGGGCUACCCGGUAGCUACCCUGUAGUUACCCUGUAGCUUGCCGACGGUAUUCUAAACUCUUGUUUAAUAGUAUCAUCUCUGAGUAAACUUUUAAAUAAGUCA
rnacentral:misc_RNA from 1 species